UUCCUGAUUUUAUCCAAACAUUGUACUUUAGGUAUGAAUUGCUUCUUUCGAUAGAGUUGAUGCGAAGAGGUUAUUUUAACUAGCUGAUAAUUCUUCUCCAAUGCAUAUACAGAUAGAGGUGUUCAAAGUGUCCAAUAAGAGGGGUCAUUUUGGAUGAAUUGUAGUCUGUUUACUAAUAUGUGGCCUGCACUAAUAGAACUUUUGGAGCAUUAGAAGACGAAGACUUUGAGAACCAUAAGGUGAUGGAAAGUUGAUGUAGUAUGUCUACUAAUAUGUGGCUUGCAAUGGAAGAACUUUAGGAGCAGUAAAAGACGAAGAAGAAGACUUUGAGAAUCAAAAGGUGAUGGAAAUUAGUCUUUGAGAGCUACUUUGAUGGAUGAGUGUGGUUUCAAUAAAAGAAAAUAAUUAAUGAAGUUUUUUAAACGUUUGAGCUGCUGU